rnacentral:tRNA from 1 species
GCGUCGGUGGCAGAGUGGUCAAAUGCACGUGGCUGUAAACCACGCGACUUCGGUCUCCGCAGGUUCGAAUCCUGCCCGACGCACCA